GCACCAGCGGUCUAGUGUUAGAAUAGUACCCUGCCACGGUAUUGACCUGGGUUCGAUUCUUGGUUGGUACA
rnacentral:tRNA from 1 species